AGAGUUAGACAGAUUGUCGCCGCCACUUUGUGGGGGAGGAAAGUCCGGGCUCCAUAGGACAAACGCCGGGUAACCCCCGGGAAGAGCGAUCUUUAGAAAGUGCCACAGAAAACAGACCGCCGUGAAAACGGUAAGGGUGAAACGGUGGGGUAAGAGCCCACCAGCCGUUAUGGCAACAUAGCGGGCUAGGUAAACCUCGUUCGGAGCAAGACCAAAUAGAAGGGCGCACCACAGCUUGUCCGGCUGAUGCCCUUGGGUAGGUUGCUUGAGGCUUUAAGUAAUUAAAGCCCUAGAGAAAUGACAAUCGUUUUUAUAGCAAUAUAAAAAAGACAAAACCCGGCUUAUCGUUUAACUCUCGUU
rnacentral:RNase_P_RNA from 2 species